CCUACGGGUGGCAGCAGUGGGGAAUCUUGGGCCAUGGGCGCAAGCCUGACCCAGCAACGCCGCGGGAAGGAAGAAGGCUUUCGGGUUGUAAACUUCUUUUCUCAGGGACGAAGCAAGUGACGGUACCUGAAGAAUAAGCCACGGCUAACUACGUGCCAACAGCCGCGGUAAUACGUAGGUGGCAAGCGUUAUCCGGAUUUCAUGGGUGUAAAGGGCGUGUAGGAGGGACUGCAAGUCAGAUGUGAAAACCACGGGCUCAACCUGUGGCCUGCAUUUGAAACUGUAGUUCUUGAGUACUGGAGAGGCAGACGGAAUUCCUAGUGUAGCGGUGAAAUGCGUAGAUAUUAGGAAGAACACCAGUGGCGAAGGCGGCUUUCUGGACUGAAACUGACGCUGAGGCUCGAAAGCGUGGGGAGCGAACAGGAUUAGAUACCCUUGUAGUC
rnacentral:rRNA from 1 species